UUAUUUCAUUAAUUUUGAAGGACCUAUUCACCCUCACAUUUUGGAACUCCAGUUAUCCUUAUGCUUGACUUUUUAAUAUUGUUGUUUAGGUCCAUUAUGUUCAGUCUGUCUGUUUGUUCAGUCUCUUUUCUGUUUUUCAGGUUGUGUAGUUUCCAUUGAUACAGUUCAUUCUCACUGACUCUUCAUUCUUUUAUUUCCAUUUAGCUAUGAAGAUUACCCACUGACUCUUUCAUUGCAGAUAAUAUAUUCAUUAGCUUUAAAAUUCUUGUUUUUAAAGUAAAUUUUUAUUUCUAUGGAUGUUUUGAAGGGUUUCAAAAAGGCAUUUCCUAAAAUAUCUUCUGUGUUUUGGGUAAAACAUGGAUUUCAGACAAGAGAUUAAUGUCUGAGAGACUUGUUAAACUUUUGUCAUCUCUGUGCUUACUAUCGCAACAACCUGCAUGCAGACAGUGCUAAUCAAGUUGGAAAGGAAGGCAUCUAUUCAGGAAAAUAGUGAAAAUGGACUAGACACAAUUUGUCCAUAGGUUAUUAAUGGAUGAAAAAGAUGAGUACUGUUUACUAUGUAGGAUUGAUAAUGCUGUCAUUAAUCUGGAUGCACUAUAGGUGGGUAGUAUACUUUAAGGAAAAUUUUGAAUUGAAUUACAAACAUGUUGCACUCAAAUGCUGGCCAAUAUAAGUCAGUAGGAAGUUGGAAAAUUAAAGAGGAGCUAUGAGGAAGAGGUCUAGAAAUGUAGAUUUAACUGUUUAGCAGAGAAGCAAAAUGAGUCUUAUAAUACAACCAUGCAAAUAAUAGAAACAUCAGAGGUCAUUCUUUGAAAGAAAAAGAAUCAGCAUAAAAUCUGACAAUUUCAAAGAAAGUUAGAAGAACCAGAAGACUGAGGUAUACCAGAGGUCAAAAGUGAGAAAUUUGUAGUCUGAAGGAUUUGCCAGUGUCUUCUUGAACACACAUAAAAAAUUCAGCAAGCAAACAGAUGUACUCCUCCUCCUCAAUCUAAAGCAUGCCAAUAUUUAUGUAAUGAGGAUCUUCCCUAGCAAUACCAAAAAUGUAAUUUUGUUAUAGAGAUUAAUGUAAAAGUCCUACUCCAAGGAAGAGAAAAGAGGAUGCACUGGAGGUAAUAGAGGGGGUGAGUCCAGGCCAUGUUUUAAAACUUUUCUCAGGGGUGAGAAUAGAUCAAUAUAAUGGUAGCUGGUUGCUUAAAGUGUGCAGAAGGUGAACAGAGGCAGCAAUUAGAUUGGCUGGGUAUGACUGGAAACAAAGCUAUGGAGAGAAUAAUGGGUGUGGUGGUACGGUUUUAGAGUACAUAGAUAAAAUUGAAUUGAGGAUAUUAGGUUACAAACAUUAAGGGGUAUUUUUGCUUCUAUUACAGGACAGGAAGAGAGGUAGUUAUGGAGAAAUUUGCUCAGGGAGAAAAGUCAAUCUAUAUUGGAGGAAGUCGGGAAUGUAAGACAUUUGAGUAUGAAAGUUAAAGAGGGAGGUUGCUGUUUCUACUCUCAGUUAUGGGAUAGAAAAUAUUUGGAAAUAAAUCUUUCUUCAUACAACAAAUAUAAAAGCUAGUUCCUCCCCCACCCAACUAUUUGAAGGUAUUUGAGAAUCAAUAAGAGGAUGAAUAUCUAGGAGAAAAUAAAUGCUUAGGGAAAUAAGGUCAGUUUUUGGAGCAAUUUUUCUCUAGUGGAUAUCUGCUGAUUUUUGGAAGAUCAUCUGAAAAACGGAGCAAGCAUUUGAUAGCCUCUUAGGGUUAGAGGGAUAUGAAGUAGAACUCCGGCCCUAUUAAUGUAGUAUGUGUGUUCCCUGUGAAUCAGUGGUAGGAAGCAGAGUGAUCCAGCAUGAGAGGUAGGUUCAGCAUGUGGAGGGGUGUUGCAAAAGGUAUCUCGAUAAUCGAUAAUCGAGAGUGGGGAUGUAGGUUGGUGCUGUGGCACCAGGUGAGGGAAGAGCUGCUGUGCGGCCAGCAGUGCAGGUGGCAGAGUAACAGGAGCCUGUGCCUUGGUGCUGCUUCCUCUGAUGGCAUAGUGCCUGCCUUCACAGGUGUCCAACUACUACACAGAAUCUGGAAUCUCCACUGGCUAGUCAGUUUGGGUACCAGCCGGGGAAUGGCCUGUGUUGAAAGCUGACUUCAUGCCAUAUUGUUGUUUUUGUUUCUCCAGUACAGGAGUGGGCUGUAAAUGAAGGUGGCGGCUCUCAGCACUUUCACCAACUGCCAGGAAUGCUCCUUCAUUUUUCUCUUGCAGCAAAGAAAGAGAAGGAAGCCCACAGUGAUCACAUAAUACAGCCCCAGUAAUCCAUAAUAAAGGGAAUCCAAUUUAAGGCUGAAACAGAAAGAGGCAAGCUGACUGACAGCUGUAGCUUGAGACCUGGACUCUUUCUUCUUCCUCUACUUGACCUGGUUCAUUCAUCCAUUCAUUUAUUCCCACCCUCCUCCAAGACAUGCCAAUUCUCUUCUGAUUGAGUCCAAGCUAGUUUGGCAGGAAGCCUGAGAGGCCACUUUCACCUUUGACAGAUAAGAAACACUAGGUGUACAGGGGCCAUGACCUACCCGGACUCUGUCAGACCUUCUGGCUCCCAGUCCCGGACCCAUCUGAUCCUUUAGACUCACUAAGGGCAAGGUCCUUGAGGAAGUCAAAGCUCCCCUCUUGACAAGGACUCCCAUGUAGCUUUUCUGUUUGGGCAGAAUGUAGUCUGUGUCUACCUGGAGUCCCUCCUCUUCUAGUGGAGACUACCUCUUAACUGCUUAGCACUUCCCACAGGCAGCCACCUCCCCAUCCUUCCAAAGGGAAUUCCCCUACACACAAAGAACAGGAGGGCUACUUACAUCCAGGAAAGCCCAGGUCCUCCUUUGGGGAAUCCAUCAGUUGGAGGCUUCUUACCAGUCCUAAGCCUCUGGAAAGAAUGAACUCCCCCACUGCUUGUUCCACCAAUGGGAGUCCUCAAAAGGCCUCAGCCUCAUUAUGUCCUCAAGAUGAGGUCAGAGGGUUCUGAGCACUGAGAAUCCAGGAUUGGUGGUUGUGGAGUGGGUGACAGUUGACGCAAGGAAGGGACUCCAUCUUGUGACAUGUCAUGAGCAUAGUUGUCUUCCAUCAAAGAAUGGACCCAAGACAGAAUUGUCUGUUCCCCAGUUCAUAUGGGGAAUGCACAGAACAGCCCCCAGGAAAAGGCCCUCACACCCUCAGGAGUUUCUAUGUAUGGGGUUGGUGGUUAGGGAGCCAUUUCUGCAUAGCUGCUGCUUCUUGUUCUUCUUGUUCUUGUUGUUGUUCUUGUUGUUGUUGUUGUUGUUGUUGUUCUUCUUCUUCUUCUUCUUCUUCUUCUUCUUCUUCUUCUUCUUCUUCUUCUUCUCUUUUUUUCUGUUUUUUUUUUAAUUGUGGAUGGACCCUCAUUUUAUUAAUUGAUUGAUGUGUUAUGCUUAGAAUCCAACACAGUGUCUCACACAUGCUAGGCUAGUGCUGUACCACGGUGCCACAGUCCCAGCCCUGUGGAUAAGUUUUUCAGAGGGAAGUGGGUCAGGGAACACAGUGAACAUUGGACAGCCCAGGCAACAAGAAGUUUCUGCACGAGUAGUCAAGGAGACACAAGCUCCAAAGUACCUUGUGGUUCAAAAUUCCUUCUGUGGCUCCUGGACUCUGUCUGUUGUUUCUUCAACCAGUGUUUCUUUGGCAUCAUCCAUCCUGGUGGGGGCUAUCUCCUAUGUGAUCCUGUAUCCCUUUCCAGCUUCAUCUCCCUCCCCAUCCUUCAGACACCAUUCCCUUCGGGCAUGCUAGUGUCCACCAGGAACUCUGGACUGUGGCUUAGACUGCCCCUUCACUCAGAGUGCCUCUCAUCACAUUUCUACCACCAAACACAUCCUUGUCCUCCCAUGUGGCAAACACCCCAACAUGGUGGCAUACAGUGCUUUCCAUAGAUUUCCCAGAACCCCAUGGUCUCCAGUGGGAGGAGACUUGGAGCCUUGUCUAAUCCAACUCCCAUCAGAUAGCAGAGUCAUGAGGUUAGGACAUCCCUACUUACCACCCAAUCAUCACAGUAUGCUGUCACUCAGGGACUUGUGUCAGUUCUCCUGAGGCAGCUGGAUUCACUUUUGACCAGCUCAGUUAGAGAGAUAUUUGCUCAUGAAGCUGAGGGCAGACCCCAAGAAGCUUGUACCCCUGGUCCUGGCUUGGCUCCUUGUUACCAUUUAGUUCCUCCCAAUUUCUUCAGUAGCCAGAAUGAGCCUUGACAGCACAGAUCAUGCCAGUCUGCUCCCACAUGCAGUGACUUCUCAUUGCCCUCUGAUGGAAAACCACAAUCCUGAACCAAGGCCUCCAAAUGCCUGAGCAUUCUCACCAGCCACUCCCAUGUGUCUCUUUCCACUUCCUGGGAAGCUUUUCUUUCCCUUCUUCAUAGAGACUCUUUGCUCAAUUUUUAGUUCUCUGCUUGAGUGUCUCUUUAUUUCCAUCUUUCUUUGUCUGCUUUGUUCAUCAACAUAGUGUUCUCAUCACACAACAUAUAUUUAUUUUUUGUCUGUAUCCAGUGGAAUGGAAACCAGUGGAAUCAAAGAAAAGAAGGAUAGAAGCAAUUCAGAGAGUGAAAUUUCCACAAAGGGAAUAAAAGAGUUGAAGUCAAAGAGACAAUUAAGGUGUGCAAAGAGAGAGAGAGUUCAUUUAUGAAGGUUCCCUUGAGGAGUGGACAUGGGAACGAAGCCCUAGGAGAUGAUCAGGCAGCCUGUGCAGCUGGAUGCAGUAAGAUGAACUGCAAUGAUCCUGAGCCAGUUACAGGCCAGCCCACCUAAACUUUUUAACCCUCUACUACAUUCCAAACAGCACAGAGCAGGGCUGAUCUGAUCUUUCUAAGUACAGGUGUGAGAGAGCAGAGUUGUAGGAUCUGUACCUGCCUCAGGAAGGGUUUCCUCAGCCAGAUUUGCACACAAUGCACAUCAGUGAGUGCCUUGACAGAGGAUGCCGUCAUGUGUGGAGCAAGCCAGACAGAUGUGCAUGUCACUGGCCCUGACCUCAGGAACUCACAGUUGGUCCCAGAGGUGAAAAGGAUAGUUGCAUUGGGGUUGAGAGAGGCAACAUGCAUUGCAGGUAUCCAAAGAAGCCUAUAGAAGAAGACAUUGGGCCCAAUUCUGGGUGACUCCAGGAAGUAGUUCCCAUGUGGUUGGAGCUGCAAUUUGGCUUUAGGAAGUACAGGGUAACUGAAGUUUGGGAGCAUUUUCUAAAGGUCAGCUCUGGGGUAUAACUGGGAGAAAUCACUUAAUAUCAGGCCCUCAGCCUCAGCUUCCUCACCCGGAAAAUGAGGGUAAUUCCUGCCUGAUUCUGACAAAAUGGAGGUCACCUAGAAACUUCAGUAGAGAGAAGCAGCUGCUAUGAGGAUGUUUGGGGAAACAACCUUUGAUGCUAGAGGAAUGAGUGGUAUGAGUGCCAAGAACGUUUUCAGAGGAGCUAUCUCAUGAGCACCCUCGGGUUCAGUCAGCUCCCCAGAGCAGGAUUGGCACCAAAAGAGGGCUGGUCGUGAGGAGGGAAGGCAUGAAUUAGGGCAGGCUUUCUGAAUUAGGGGUGCCAUGGCACCUGCAGAGCAGAGAGAGCCCACAGGCUGGGUUUGGAGCAGCCAGCCCAACCCCUUAGUAGACUCUAGUCCACUCUGGCCACCUGCCCUUGGAAAUGCUAUCUGAAAUGGGAAACUUCUUCCCAAGGUAUCUUUUCUUCCCAAGAUAUCUUUCUAUUUCUUACCCCCUCUGCAGCUCCAAGGGAAAGAGGUGAAAUGGCCAAGCACAGGAGACCCAAGAGAGCUCAUUCUGCCAAGGCAUCCCUGCAAUUCACAGUGACACCUCUAGAAUGGGCCCUCAGUACUAGCAGAGAGUGGUUACUGACAAAUCCUCUCUCAUCUAUGCACUUCAGAAUUUUGGUCAGGGACUAGCUCUUUCUGAAUCCAUCAUUCUCAGCAUGAGGUGUAGAAGUGUUAGAGAGAGUGGAAAGGAGAGUGAGUUCUUAGGUGCAAAAUCAAUGGAGUUUGUGCACCUCAACUAGAUUGGUUUUCUUUUCCCUAUGAAGAAAGCAUAGAUUUAGUGCUGGGGAUGUGGCUCAAGCAUUAACGUGCUCGCCUGGCAUGUGCAGGGUGCUGGGUUUGAUCCUCAGCACCACAUAAAAAAUAAAAUAAAAUAAAGAUGUUGUGUCCACCGAAAACUGAAAAAUAAAUAUUAAACAUUUCUCUCUUCUCUCUCUCUCUUAAAAAAAUUAGAAAGCAUAGAUUAAUAUUGUGUCUCAUCAUGCAUUUCACACAGUGCCUUGGGGAAACAGCCUGCAUGCAGAGGACCCACUCUGGAACAGACCCUCAGUUCCAUCUUUAAGGUUGAGAUGGUGAAAGAGCAAGGUGCAGAAGCAAUCAAACAGCCACCCUCCAAAUCUCCUUGUAUUGGUGAGACCAGUUCCCCCACUCUAGAGAGGAAGGACAUUGCCCAGUACAGGGGUGAGCUGUAAGCAAAUUUGGCAGCUCUCAGCACUUCCACUCACUGCCACAGGUAAAACAAAGCCCAGACAUGUCCCCUUCAGCAUUUCUGAUAAGGCUCCUUCCUGUAGGCAUACCAUCUAUAUAUACUCCUAUAGAGCUUGAGAACCAAAAAAACCUGAAGGCAAUUAACCUGGCUUUUGUAACUCAGUGGGCCCCAGACCUCCAUAAAAAUAUUCAAAAAAUUGAUGGCUUUCUGAGGAAGAACAGGUCAGAGCUAUUGGAGCUAGCUCAAAAGGUGUUUGAAAAUAGAAACAGCCAGGAUGCUCUACUGAUAAAGGAAAUACAUUGGGCCACAGGGGCUGUGCUACAGUCUCCUGAAAUUUUCAAUCCCAGACAGAUGCAGACUGCAUACAGCAGAGGCAAAAGACAGAUCAGUAUUCUGUAAGAAUUUGGACACUGGAAAAUAUAAAUGCCCCCAACAAAAUCAAAAGGACUUUCCCCAGCUGCAGGCCAAAUCCCCUCAUCUAAAACCAGCUCUAACUUUAGAAGAAUAGGGGGACCAUGCUUUUACAAACUAGGCUCCCAAGAGCCAAUGGUACCUUCAAAAUUGGGAGCCAACCUCUAAAUUUCUUAGUGGAUACAGGGGCUUUCACAUUUGGUGUUGCAGAAGCCACCAGGACCCCUCACUAAUGAAAAUAUGGAAGUACAAGGAGAAAUAGGAGAAAUUAAAAAUUAUAAAUGGACCACUGUUGAUGUAGGACAAGGAACUGUGACUCACUCUCUCAUUGUUAUCCCUGAAUGACCUUUCCCAUUGCUGGGAUGGAAACUUCUAAGCAAACUUUAGGAAACUAUAUCAUUUUCAGGGGAUAUGAAUUCCCUACAAUUGGGGAGUCCUACAAGAGCCUUAACUAUAUCAUGCCCAUAAAGGGAGGAAUAUCUGCUCUCUCAAAAUCUUAUCCAAGCUUAGAAGGAAAAUGGAAAAAAAAAAAAACUAUUUAUCCAAGAAAUUCUUACAGUUUGGGCUAAGGAUAACCCUCCUAGGUUGUAAUACAACUAAUAUCUGGGGCUAUGCCAAUUCAGGUUAGACAAUACCCCAUCAGCUCUGAAGCCAGAGUAAGAAUCAAAACCCAUAUUAGAUGUCUCCUAGAAGAGGAAAUACUAAUUAGAUAUCAGUCACCUUGGAACACCCCUUUGUUGUCUGUCCAAAGGCCUGGGACUCAUGAUUAGAGACCAGUACAGAACUUAAGGGAAGUGAACAAAUGGGUAGAAACCAUAUACCCAACUGUCCCAAACCCUUAUACCUUGCUCAGUCUGUUGGCAUCAGAACAUAGGAUCUACACGGUAUUAGAUUUGAAAGAUGCAUUUUUCUCCAUUCCUUUGUCAAAACUGAGUCAUCCCAUCUUUGCAUUUGAAUGGACUGACCUGGAGCAGGGAAUAUUGGGACAACCAACCUGGACUCGACUACCUCAGGGAUUUAAGAGCUCCCCCACCAUCUUUGAUGAAGAACUCAACAAAGAUUUGAGCCUUUUCUGCAGUGAGUACCCCAAGAUAACCUUGAUUCAAUAUGUGUAUGAUCUUUUGCUAGCAGCAAGGGAUGAAAGGGACUGUUGAAAGGCCACCUGGGGCAUAAUGAGGACCUUGGCUCAAUUAGGGUAUUGAGUCUCCAAAAACAAAGCACAAAUCUGUUCUCCUCGAGUUACUUAUUUAGGAUAUGAACUGAUGGAAGGGAAAAAGCUGCUGUCCCAAGCCCACAUAGAGGCCAUAAUGAAGAUCCCAAUCCCAACUCUAAAAAGCAGGUUAGGAAAUUCCUAGGGGCAGUCAGGUACUGCCACCUUUGGAUACCUGGAUUUGCUGAUAUUGACAAGCCCUCUAUAUAUUGCAACUGUGGGAGGCAACUGACCUUUAGUUUGGACUGUAGAAAAUGAAUUAGCCUUUAAAAAUCUAAAAAAGGCUCUGGUAGGCUCCUGUCCUAAGCUUCCCUGAUAUCUCUAAGCCCUUCCAUCUGUAUGUUCAUGAGAAAAAGGGUAUUGCAAAGGGAGUGCUUACCCAAAAUCUAGGGCUAUAGAAAAGAUAAAUUGCCUACAUUUCAAAAAGGCUUGAUCUGGUAGCAUCAGGGUGGCCUCCUUGUUUAAGAGCCAUAGUGGCUACUGCACUCCUGAUGAAGGACACAGACAAACUAACUCUGGGGCAGACUCUUACUGUGACUGUUCCACACACAGUGGAAGAUCUAUUGAGGGAUGCCACAAAUCAUUGGAUGUCAAAUGCCCGCCUCACUUAAUAACAGGCUUUCCUCCUAGACAAGGACAGAUUAACAUUCAAUAAAUCCAUGGCAGUCAAUUCAACAACCCUGCUGCCAGACAACAACCUGUAGGAGCCAAUUCAUGACCGCUCAUAGAUGCUGGAUGUCAUCCAAUGUACUUGACUAGACCUGACUGAAAUUCUUCUCAGCGUCAGAGAUUCAGACCUUUACACUGCUGGCAGCAGUUACGUCUGAGAUGGAAUGAGGUAUGUGGGAGUAGCAGUAGAUAUGGGCCAAAAAGAAGUUAUUUGGGCACAGGGUUUGCCCAGGGGCUCAUCAACCCAAAAAGCAGAAAUCAUUGCUAUCACACAGGCAUUGAGAUGAGCAGAAGGAAAAGGGGUGAAUAUUUACACAAACAGCCACUAUGUUUUUGCUACAGCACAUGUGCAUGGACAGAUAUAUAAACAAAGGGGACUUUUAAUUUCAUAUGGUAAGACCAUUGAAAAUAAACAAGAAAUUCUUCAAUUACUGGAGGCUAUCUAUCUGGUUGCCAGAUAAUUAUCCACUGGCCUGGACACUGCAAAGAUGAUAGUCCUCAAACUCAGGGAAACAACUAGGCUGAUCAAACAGCCAGGGAAAUAGCCCUUGGAGAUCCAAGACACCAAACUAUCCAACAACUCUCCAAUUAUCCAAAAUUUUCUGUUAAAAUUGGGGAGGACGCCUCUUCACACACUACAGAAAAAAAUAAACUUAUCUUCUCAUUGGGUGCCCAACAAAACUGUCAUGGCUGGUGGAACCUCCCAAAUGGAAAAAUCUGCAUAUCUAAGCUACUAGGGAGAAAAUGGUUAACUGAUCUUCAUCCAGCCAUGCAUUUAUCACCCAAGAAGAUGUCAUAAUUAAUCUCAUCCUAUGUUUGGCUUCGGGGACAUCGAGGGAUGCUUCAAGAUAUCUCAAAUUGUUGCAUGACAUGUGCACAGGUAAAUGCUAGAAGGAUCAACUUCCACAAGGAAACAGGAGUUAAGAUUCUGUACCUGGUAAAUUUGGGGAAUUAGACUUUACUGAAAUUAAACUUGGACUAUAUGAAUAUAAAUACUUGUUAGUCUUUGUUGAAACUGUCUCUGGCUGGGCAGAUGCUUUUCCAAUCUAGAUGGAAAUGGCACAAAUAGUAGAUAAAAAACUAAUAAAUGAGAAUGUUCCUAGAUUUGGCUUCCCUCUAAUUUUGGGGUCUGACAAUGGCCUGGCCUUGAUGUACAAAUUAUCUCAAUUGAUUUCAAAGGCCCUUAAUAUAAACUGGAAAUUAUGCUGUGUGUACCACCCUCAAAGCUCAAGGAAGGUAGAAAGGAUGAAUAGAAGUAAACACUGUCUAAAUUAAUCCUUAAGACUGGUGUUAACUGGGUUAAUCUCCUGCUUUUUGCCCUAUUGAGGGCCCAUUGCAUUCCUUAUCAGGAAAAAUUUACUGCAUAUGAAAUAAUUUAUGGGCAGCCACUGCCUAUGGUUUCCAGAGUACACCUAGAUCUGCUAGGAGACAUUCCAAUCUCAGGGUCACAACUAUUCAUGGAUAAGAUCUUUCUUCAGGUUCAGGCUGCUCGGCCUAUUGGACAUAGAUUUGUUGAUCAUUCAUUCCAACCUGGCGAUGCUGUGCUGAUACAAUGUUUGAAAACUAAUACCAUCGAACCCAGGUGAAAAGGCCCUUCCAUUGUGAUUCUCCACAUUCCCACUGCCAUCAAAGUUGCUGGUAUUCCUGCUUGGAUUCAUCAUUCUUAGCUUAAGAAGGCACCUUCAGAACCCACUGGAGGAGAAUCUAGCUGCCAAAGGUGGAAAGUGACUGAGCAUGGACCUUUUAAUUUUAAAAUUUCUAAGGGUUAAUAUGUUGUCAUUAACUUCUUAUUGCUUUUCCUUGUUAUUGUAAACAUUAUGCUAAUAAUUUUCCCUGUUGGAAUAUAUAUGUAUUCUUGGGUGUUAGCUAUGCUAGCCUCAACCAACCUUGCACCCCUUUGUAGCGCAGGUAGGACCUGCCAUUGUAAGAUCCCCACUAAUAUUAAAUUGUACUUACUCCUGUCAGGAUCCAAUAAUUGGCCCUAUAAGAUGGUGUAAAGAAAAUCAAGAAAUUUUCAGUCUGGUAUUCAGGGAGGGACCAUGGAAAAAUCUUACAGACCAGUCUCAAGGGGAUCAUAUAAAUUUUGGAAUCUAUAAAUACUCAGCUCACCCAAAAGAUUCAGGACAAUAUUCUUUUAUUAAGUUUAAAAAGAGGGCCAUAGUGGAUACUGACUAUUCAAGUGCUACUUUAAAUGUGGAUAUUUCCAUGAGCCUCCUAAAUUCUACAAACAACCAAACCUUUUGGUUACAAUUGAUUGUUGAUACUAUGAACAAAAGUUCCUUCUGCAUACAACAAGGAAGUUCCAUCAAUCAAUUGUUAGCUAAUCAUCUUAUGGGCCUCUCUAUAAAAUAUGAUGACUAUAUUAAGGUCACUGGUGAUAGGGCUACACAGCAAGACUGACCUGUGUCCCAUGCAGAGUCAGACUUGCCAGCUUCACUGAUGUCCAAAAACAUCGUUUAUGCAUAGAGUGCAUCCUUCCCCAAACCCCACCUAAUUGUUCUAUUGAACAAAAUAUCUCCCUACCCAAUGGCAAAUGACUUCCUACAGGAUGGGCUUUUCUCUGUGAUAAGAUGAGUUUCCAGGCUUUGCCUACCAAUUUCUGUGGGAUCUGCUCUAUUGGAUGGAUCUUUCCCUUACUGCCAUCCCUGGCAUCUCCCCACCAAGACAUCCGAAGUCUGCCCCCCAAUUGCAAUAACAAUUUAAUCCACUUGGACCCCCUAGACUUCGCAAUUGCAGCAGCUUUCUUUUUGCCAAUUCUAGUGGUAGGAAUACAGAGAAAUCAUGAAAUUAGUCUGUAGUUUUAGCAAAACAGCUAACCUUAUGACACAAUUCUUAGUAGAAAUUAAUCAGGAGAUGAAAGUACUCUGAAUCUCAGUACUACAAAAUAGAGCAGCUAUUACUUUCUUUUUCUGAGAUAUCAUUUGGGCUGUCAACAAUUCCCAGGCAUGUGUAGUUUUAAUAUUACCGAUUAUUCUAGUGUUAUCCAACAACAGAGGGAUGAAAUAAAAAAGGAGAUCAACAAAAUUCAAAUGGACAACUCUUAGCCAGGCUUGGGAAACUGGUUUCCAUGGUUAACUUCCCUUGUAGGUCCUAUAAUUUGCAUCAUCUCCUAUUAGUUCUUGUCCCAUGAAUCAUUAACUAUGUGCUCAGGUUUGGAGGACUACAACUUAAUUCUAUUAUGUAUAAUUGACAGUAUUAACAUAUAUGAUUGACAUUACUGAUUGUUCCCUAUCAAAGAUUUGAAAGGGAUACGUAAGACAAGGGGGGAAUGAUAAACCCAGACUAAUUCCGUUUUAAGAUCAGGAGCCAACGUUUCACAAGUUAUAAAAGAUUCAUUUGUGUUUUCUGUAAAAUAUUAGGAUUUCUAUUUAGCCUGGCCGUAUUUUGAUGUUUUAAAUUUGCUUGUAAUGCUUGCCCAUUCCUUGAACUCACCCAUGCCUAGCUUUCACUGACAAGAUAGCAGCCCUCUCUGAAACUUUAGUUAUGCCUCAUAAUCUCUGGCUUUCCCUGGCCAGAUAACGACCCUCUCUGAAACUCUAGUGGCACCUCAUAAAUCCUCAUACUGGGAUCUAAAAUUACUCCCUAAAUGCUGAAACAUUUAGACCAUUAACCUACUACCUGCCUUUGUGUUAUGCUUGUCAAAAUUCUGUUAUCUGUAAGUUCUAAAGACACUCCCCCUUUGUAUGCAAGUUUCUGUGCUAUAAAGCUGUGUUCCUAGAGAGCUGUAGCAUUGUCUUCUAUUCCCAUGGGUUUCAGGAGAGACAAUCCUGGCCUGUCAAAAUUACAAGCUUGUUUUAAUUUGA